GGACAGCAGGAGGCCCAGAAAUCUGAAUUUUACUAAGUGUCCAGGUGAUUCCGACAUCCAGACAGUCGAGACACUUGUUGUAAAUCCCUUACAGGUGAGUGACUAACUUAGCAGAUAAUUCUGCUGAAUUGUUUGGCCCACUGAUGAGAUUCGUUUCGGGAUCAAGUUGAGCCUUUUGGGCUCCCCAGUCAGCCCCACAAUGUAUAUUUCACACAUGCAAAUGUGCUCAUAUGGAAGUCUUCGCGAAACAGCAGCCAGUUUUAUUUGAGAUGCCUUACAAUUUGAAAAUAAAUGAUGCCAAAUUUAACCAGAUGUGACGGCCUUGUGAUCCAAACAGUGCCAACUAGAUGCAGCGAGUCUUUGGCUGAGACUUCUGAGAGACUCACACUCUUUUCUUAAAGGAUUUACAAAUGAGUGGUCAUGAAAGUGAUAC
rnacentral:lncRNA from 1 species